CCUACGGGUGGCUGCAGUGAGGAAUAUUGGUCAAUGGGCGGAAGCCUGAACCAGCCAAGUAGCGUGCAGGAUGACGGCCCUACGGGUUGUAAACUGCUUUUAUACGGGAAUAACGCGCCUUACGUGUAGGGCUUUGCAUGUACCGUAUGAAUAAGGACCGGCUAAUUCCGUGCCAGCAGCCGCGGUAAUACGGAGGGUCCGGGCGUUAUCCGGGAUUAUUGGGAGUAAAGGGAGCGUAGGGCGGAUGUCAAGCUUUAUGUGAAAUGUUAGGGCGCAACCCGAGACCUGCAGGGGGAAAUGGCAUGCUAGAGUAUGCGAGAGGUAGGGGGAAGUCGUGGUGUAGGGGGAAAAUCCGGAGAGAUGAAGAGGAAGACUGAUUGAGAAGGAGACUUGCUAGAGCAGAACUGACGCUGAUGCGCGAAAGCGUGGGGAGCGAACAGGAGUAGAUACCCCGGUAGUC
rnacentral:rRNA from 1 species